UGGGGUGUAGCUCAGUGGUGGAGCAUUUAUCUAGCAUACCCAAAGCCCUGGUUUUGAUUCCCAGCACUGCAG
rnacentral:tRNA from 1 species